UUGACGUCACCGCUCGUGGUGUGGCGAUGACGUCGUGUCACCCAGGGGGAGGGGCCAGGGGUUGCCGAUGCCGGGUUGAGAGAGAUCGGGGGGCUGACGACGGUGGUGGUGGACGUGGUGGUGGUGGACAAUCGGAGUCGCCACACGGGGCGCGAUGUCGGACGAGGGGAAGCUGCUGCAGUGCCCGCUGUGCAAGUGGGUGCUCAUCAGCCACACGGCGCUGCAGGACCACAUGAAGAAGCACGGUCGACAGACCGAGGUGGAGUACUUCCAGUGCGGGUGGUGCUCCUACAGCACCUACUGCCGGCGCACGCUCAGCAACCACGAGAGGAUCCACACGGGCGAGAAGCCCUACAAGUGCGCUACGUGCGGCAAGGCCUUCACCGAGAUGGGACCGCUCAAUAAGCACAAGCGGACGCACACGGGCGAGAAGCCUUACAAGUGCACUACGUGCGGCAAGGUUUUCGCGCACUCCGGCACCCUCAAAACGCACGAAAAGUCGCACACCUCCGAGAAGACCUACAAGUGCCCCGUGUGCACCAAGGUGUUCGCCAGCCCGGAGAGCGUUCAGAGCCACCGGGCGGUGCACAACGGCAAGAAGCCGUUCGAGUGCGACGCGUGCGGCAAGGCGUACGCCAACCUGGGGUUCUUGGAGCGCCACGAGAUGACGCACGCCGAGGAGAGGCCGUACGUGUGCACGGUGUGCGAUAAGUCAUUCACGCACGCCAAGGACCUACGCAGCCACCAGAGGGUUCACCUGCGUAAGAAGAAAGGCUACAAGUGCAAGCGAUGCGAGAGGUCGUACACCAGGCUGGGCGCCCUCCGAACCCACGAGAAGACGCACACCAACGACGCGCCGCACGUGUGUUCAGAGUGCGGUGAGGUGUUCACGGAGCUGGACAGCCUGCGUCAGCACGAGCGGUCUCACGAGGAGCAAAAGCCACUGCUGUGUUUAGAGUGCGGCGACGCUUUCACGGAGCUGGACAGCCUGCGUCGGCACGAGAGGACUCACAAGGAGCAAAAGCCACUGCUGUGUUCAGAGUGUGGCGAGGCGUUCACGGAGCUGGACAGCCUGCGUCGGCACGAGCGGACUCACAAGGAGCAAAAGCCACUGCUGUGUUCAGAGUGCGGCAAGGCGUUCACGGAGCUGGACAGCCUGCGUCAGCACGAGAGGUCUCACAAGGAGCAGAAGCCACUGCUGUGUUCAGAGUGCGGUGAGGCGUUCACGGAGAUGGACAGCCUGCGUCGACACGAGAGGUCUCACACGAGGAUGGUGAUGAUGUUGCAGGGCACGAUGUCGGACGAGGGAAAGCUGCUGCAGUGCCCGCUGUGCAAGUGGGUGCUCAUCAGCCACGCGGCGCUGCAGGACCACAUGAAGCAACACGGGCGGCAGAUCGGGGUGGAGUACUUCCAGUGCGGGUGGUGCUCCUACAGCACCUACUGCCGGCGCACGCUCAGCAUCCACGAGAGGAUCCACACGGGCGAGAAGCCCUACAAGUGCGCUACGUGCGGCAAGGCCUUCACCGAGAUGGGACCGCUCAAUAAGCACAAGCGGACGCACACCUCCGAGAAGCCCAACAAGUGCGCUACGUGCGGCAAGGUUUUCGUGAACUUGGGCACCCUCAGAUCGCACGAGAAGUCGCACACCUCCGAGAAGACCUACAAGUGCCCCGUGUGCACCAAGGUGUUCGCCACCCUGCAGAACGUUCAGAGCCACCGGGCGGUGCACAACGGCAAGAAGCCGUUCGAGUGCGACGCGUGCGGCAAGGUGUUCGCCAACCUGCGGUUCCUUGAGUGCCACGAGAUGACGCACGCCGACGAGCGGCCGUACGUGUGCACGGUGUGUGACAAGGUGUUCACGCACUCCAAGGACCUGUGCAGCCACCAGAGGGUUCACCUUUGUAAGAGGAAGGGCUACAAGUGCAAGCGAUGCGAGAGGUCGUACACCAGGCUGGGCGCCCUCCGUACCCACGAGAAGACGCACACCAAUGACGCGCCGCACGUGUGUUCAGAGUGCGGUGAGGUGUUCACUGAGCUGGACAGCCUGCGUCAGCACGAGAGGUCUCACGAGGAGCAGAAGCCACUGCUGUGUUCAGAGUGCGGCGAGGCGUUCACGGAGCUGGACAGCCUGCGUCGGCACGAGAGGUCUCACAAGGAGCAGAAGCCACUGCUGUGUUCAGAGUGUGGCGAGGCGUUCACGGAGCUGGACAGCCUGCGUCGGCACGAGAGGUCUCACAAGGACCAGAAGCCACUGCUGUGUUCAGAGUGCGGUGAGGCGUUCACGGAGAUGGACAGUCUGCGUCAGCACGAGAGAUCCCACGAGGAGCAGAAACCACUGCUGUGUUCAGAGUGCGGUGAGGCGUUCACGGAGCUGGACAGCCUGCGUCGGCACGAGAGGUCUCACAAGGACCAGAAGCCACUGCUGUGUUCAGAGUGCGGUGAGGCGUUCACGGAGCUGGACAGCCUGCGUCAGCACGAGAGGUCUCACAAGGACCAGAAGCCACUGCUGUGUUCAGAGUGCGGUGAGGCGUUCACGGAGCUGGACAGCCUGCGUCAGCACGAGAGGACUCACAAGGACCAGAAGCCACUGCUGUGUUCAGAGUGCGGUGAGGCGUUCACGGAACUGGACAGCCUGCGUCAGCACGAGAGGUCUCACAAGGAGCAGAAACCACUGCUGUGUUCAGAGUGCGGUGAGGCGUUCACGGAGCUGGACAGCCUGCGUCAGCACGAGAGGACUCACAAGGACCAGAAGCCACUGCUGUGUUCAGAGUGCGGUGAGGCGUUCACGGAGCUGGACAGCCUGCGUCAGCACGAGAGGUCUCACACGAGGAUGGUGAUGAUGGGCGCGAUGUCGGACGAGGGGAAGCUGCUGCAGUGCCCGCUGUGCAAGUGGGUGCUCAUCAGCCACGCAGCGCUGCAGGACCACAUGAAGCAACACGGGCGGCAGAUCGGGGUGGAGUACUUCCAGUGCGGGUGGUGCUCCUACAGCACCUACUGCCGGCGCACGCUCAGCAUCCACGAGAGGAUCCACACGGGCGAGAAGCCCUACAAGUGCGCUACGUGCGGCAAGGCCUUCACCGAGAUGGGACCGCUCAAUAAGCACAAGCGGACGCACACCUCCGAGAAGCCCAACAAGUGCGCUACGUGCGGCAAGGUUUUCGUGAACUUGGGCACCCUCAGAUCGCACGAGAAGUCGCACACCUCCGAGAAGACCUACAAGUGCCCCGUGUGCACCAAGGUGUUCGCCACCCUGCAGAACGUUCAGAGCCACCGGGCGGUGCACAACGGCAAGAAGCCGUUCGAGUGCGACGCGUGCGGCAAGGUGUUCGCCAACCUGCGGUUCCUUGAGUGCCACGAGAUGACGCACGCCGACGAGCGGCCGUACGUGUGCACGGUGUGCGACAAGGUGUUCACGCACGCCAAGGACCUGUGCAGCCACCAGAGGGUUCACCUUUGUAAGAAGAAAGGCUACAAGUGCAAGCGAUGCGAGAGGUCGUACACCAGGCUGGGCGCCCUCCGUACCCACGAGAAGACGCACACCAACGACGCGCCGCACGUGUGCUCCGAGUGCGGCGAGGUGUUCACUGAGCUGGACAGCCUGCGUCGGCAUGAGAGGAUUCACACGGAGCUGGACAGUCUGCGUCAGCACGAGAGAUCCCACGAGGAGCAGAAACCACUGCUGUGUUCAGAGUGCGGUGAGGCGUUCACGGAGCUGGACAGUCUGCGUCAGCACGAGAGGUCUCACGAGGAACAGAAGCCACUGCUGUGUUCAGAGUGCGGCGAGGCGUUCACUGAGCUGGACAGCCUGCGUCAGCACGAGAGGACUCACGAGGAACAGAAGCCACUGCUGUGCUCAGAGUGUGGCGAGGCGUUCACGGAGCUGGACAGCCUGCGUCGGCAUGAGAGGAUUCACACGGAGCUGGACAGUCUGCGUCAGCACGAGAGAUCCCACGAGGAGCAGAAACCACUGCUGUGUUCAGAGUGCGGUGAGGCGUUCACGGAGCUGGACAGUCUGCGUCAGCACGAGAGGUCUCACGAGGAACAGAAGCCACUGCUGUGUUCAGAGUGCGGCGAGGCGUUCACUGAGCUGGACAGCCUGCAUCAGCACGAGAGGACUCACGAGGAACAGAAGCCACUGCUGUGCUCAGAGUGUGGCGAGGCGUUCACGGAGCUGGACAGCCUGCGUCAGCACGAGAGGACUCACAAGGACCAGAAGCCACUGCUGUGUUCAGAGUGCGGUGAGGCGUUCACGGAGCUGGACAGCCUGCGUCAGCACGAGAGGUCUCACAAGGACCAGAAGCCACUGCUGUGUUCAGAGUGCGGUGAGGCGUUCACGGAGCUGGACAGCCUGCGUCAGCACGAGAGGACUCACAAGGACCAGAAGCCACUGCUGUGUUCAGAGUGCGGUGAGGCGUUCACGGAACUGGACAGCCUGCGUCAGCACGAGAGGUCUCACACGAGGAUGGUGAUGAUGGGCGCGAUGUCGGACGAGGGGAAGCUGCUGCAGUGCCCGCUGUGCAAGUGGGUGCUCAUCAGCCACGCAGCGCUGCAGGACCACAUGAAGCAACACGGGCGGCAGAUCGGGGUGGAGUACUUCCAGUGCGGGUGGUGCUCCUACAGCACCUACUGCCGGCGCACGCUCAGCAUCCACGAGAGGAUUCACACGGGCGAGAAGCCCUACAAGUGCUCUACGUGCGGCAAUGUUUUCGCGCACUUUGGCAAGCUCAGAAGGCACGAGAAGUCGCACACCUCCGAGAAGCCCAACAAGUGCGCUACGUGCGGCAAGGUUUUCGCGCACUUGGGCACCCUCAGAUCGCACGAGAAGUCGCACACCUCCGAGAAGACCUACAAGUGCCCCGUGUGCACCAAGGUGUUCGCCACCCUGCAGAGCGUUCAGAGCCACCGGGCGGUGCACAACGGCAAGAAGCCAUUCGAGUGCGGCGCGUGCGGCAAGGUCUUCGCCAACCUGCGGUUCCUUGAGUGCCACGAGAUGACGCACGCCGACGAGCGGCCGUACGUGUGCACGGUGUGUGACAAGGUGUUCACGCACGCCAAGGACCUGUGCAGCCACCAGAGGGUUCACCUUUGUAAGAAGAAAGACUACAAGUGCAAGCGAUGCGAGAGGUCGUACACCAGGCUGGGCGCCCUCCAUACCCACGAGAAGACGCACACCAACGACGCGCCGCACGUGUGCUCCGAGUGCGGCGAGGUGUUCACGGAGCUGGACAGCCUGCGUCAGCACGAGAGGACUCACGAGGAACAGAAGCCACUGCUGUUUUCAGAGUGUGGCGAGGAGUUCACGGAGCUGGACAGCCUGCGUCGGCACGAGAGGUCUCACGAGGAACAGAAGCCACUGCUGUGUUCAGAGUGUGGCGAGGCGUUCACGGAACUGGACAGUCUGCAUCAGCACGAGAUAUCCCACAAGGAGCAGAAACCACUGCUGUGUUCAGAGUGCGGUGAGGCGUUCACGGAGCUGGACAGCCUGCGUCGGCACGAGAGGUCUCACAAGGAGCGGAAGCCACUGCUGUGUUUAGAGUGCGGUGAGGCGUUCACGGAGCUGGACAGCCUGCGUCAGCACGAGAGGUCUCACAAGGAGCGGAAGCCACUGCUGUGUUCAGAGUGCGGCGAGGCGUUCACGGAGCUGGACAGCCUGCGUCAGCACGAGAGGACUCACGAGGAACAGAAGCCACUGCUGUGCUCAGAGUGUGGCGAGGCGUUCACGGAGCUGGACAGCCUGCGUCGGCAUGAGAGGAUUCACACGGAGCUGGACAGUCUGCGUCAGCACGAGAGAUCUCACAAGGAGCAGAAACCACUGCUGUGUUCAGAGUGCGGUGAGGCGUUCACGGAGCUGGACAGCCUGCGUCAGCACGAGAGGUCUCACGAGGACCAGAAGCCACUGCUGUGUUCAGAGUGCGGCGAGGCGUUCACGGAGCUGGACAGCCUGCAUCAGCACGAGAGGACUCACGAGGAACAGAAGCCACUGCUGUGCUCAGAGUGUGGCGAGGCGUUCACGGAGCUGGACAGCCUGCGUCAGCACGAGAGGACUCACAAGGACCAGAAGCCACUGCUGUGUUCAGAGUGCGGUGAGGCGUUCACGGAGCUGGACAGCCUGCGUCAGCACGAGAGGACUCACAAGGACCAGAAGCCACUGCUGUGUUCAGAGUGCGGCGAGGCGUUCACGGAGCUGGACAGCCUGCGUCAGCACGAGAGGUCUCACACGAGGAUGGUGAUGAUGGGCGCGAUGUCGGACGAGGGGAAGCUGCUGCAGUGCCCGCUGUGCAAGUGGGUGCUCAUCAGCCACGCAGCGCUGCAGGACCACAUGAAGCAACACGGGCGGCAGAUCGGGGUGGAGUACUUCCAGUGCGGGUGGUGCUCCUACAGCACCUACUGCCGGCGCACGCUCAGCAUCCACGAGAGGAUUCACACGGGCGAGAAGCCCUACAAGUGCUCUACGUGCGGCAAUGUUUUCGCGCACUUUGGCAAGCUCAGAAGGCACGAGAAGUCGCACACCUCCGAGAAGCCCAACAAGUGCGCUACGUGCGGCAAGGUUUUCGCGCACUUGGGCACCCUCAGAUCGCACGAGAAGUCGCACACCUCCGAGAAGACCUACAAGUGCCCCGUGUGCACCAAGGUGUUCGCCACCCUGCAGAGCGUUCAGAACCACCGGGCGGUGCACAACGGCAAGAAGCCAUUCGAGUGCGGCGCGUGCGGCAAGGUCUUCGCCAACCUGCGGUUCCUUGAGUGCCACGAGAUGACGCACGCCGACGAGCGGCCGUACGUGUGCACGGUGUGUGACAAGGUGUUCACGCACGCCAAGGACCUGUGCAGCCACCAGAGGGUUCACCUUUGUAAGAAGAAAGACUACAAGUGCAAGCGAUGCGAGAGGUCGUACACCAGGCUGGGCGCCCUCCAUACCCACGAGAAGACGCACACCAACGACGCGCCGCACGUGUGCUCCGAGUGCGGCGAGGUGUUCACGGAGCUGGACAGCCUGCGUCAGCACGAGAGAACUCACGAGGAGCAGAAGCCACUGCUGUGUUCAGAGUGCGGCGAGGCGUUCACGGAGCUGGACAGCCUGCGUCAGCACGAGAGGUCGCACGAGCAGAAGCCACUGCUGUGUUCAGAGUGCGGUGAGGCGUUCACAGAGCUGGACAGCCUGCGUCGACACGAGAGGUCUCACGAGCAGAAGCCACUUCUGUGUUCAGAGUGCGGUGAGGCGUUCACAGAGCUGGACAACCUGCGUCAGCACGAGAGGUCGCACAAGGAGCAGAAUGCAACGUCAUCAAACAUUAGGCAGCAGCAGGAGGACAGUGACAUGGGUACAAACCCGCGUGGUCUGGAAAUUUGCUAGAAGUUCCUCAUGCGUGGUGUGAGAUGAGGACACUCGUGGCGAAAUUAACUUCUUAGAUUAUUUCCAAACAUGUAUCUGCCGUAAUUCACAGACGCGACGUGUGUGCAUGUGUGCGUGCAUGUGUGUGCGUGUGUGUGCGUGAGAUGAAAACACAUUCGGAUUCAGAAUAUUUAUCCUGGAGAAAUCCGAUGAGUAAUGACGCUCUUUUUCACAGAUGUCAAAUAGGGGCAGGGCAGGUCAUAAAGUUGCAACAGCAAACAGUACAGCAACACGAUAGGAGUGCAAUGUAUUGGAAAGGUAAGCAAGUCACUAAAAUAAAUUAAAUAGAUAAAGUAUAAGUUCUAAUUGCAUAAGUGCACCAAUUUCCCAAGCUUAGGCAAGGCAGCAAAACAACAUCGAAAACAGUCCCAGAACACACCAAGACAACACACAGUCCCUCAAUAAAAUUGGCGCAUUAAAAGUGAACUAUCGAUGUAUGUAUGUUGAACUUCUUUCGCACCGUGCACAGCCAACCGUGCUAAUCGGACGUGCGGCUAAAGGUGAAAGUUACAAAUCACAUUUGCAAAUGCAGUUUUAUGCAGCGCUAAUCCCCGUCUUGAUACUUUUUGAAGAUUUAACGCUCCACUCGUCAAACACUGGAGGAUCCUCUGUGGCAAGAAAUCAGAAUCAGAAUCUUUAUUUAUCCUGGAGAAAUCCGAUAACCUAUGAAGCUUUUUUGCACGGAUGGAAAGCCACCCUCUGUCUUCAAGACAUGGCCAGAGCGCCACACUCCAGCAAGAACCACGUCUGGCAGCUCCCCGGGGCGGGAGAGACACACGGUCCCGUCGACUUACACCUGAGAUUGUGUCCUUCAAACCAUGCCCGGUGGUCAUCGACAGCCCUUCACGGAAUUUUGACUGAAGUAACAGACUGCGGAAGGCCGGAGCCCGGAAAUCAUAAAUAUCGCCAUUACCUGAGUUACCAGCGUCAUCAAGCGAACCCAAUUUCCACCACGAGCAGGAUCAUGGAUCAGAACCUGGAUGAGGAUUUACUCGAUUCCGAAGAAUGUGAUAGUGAUGUCGUAAUUGUGAUGGAGAAGAAUGGAGUGGCCGACGCGGAGAAUGAUGGAGUUGCCAACGAGGCGUUGGCGAACGCAGGGAAGGCCAGAGGACGCCCGAUGGGCCAGUUUUGGCACUACACCGAUGAUCCGGAACCGCACAAGUUGAAGAGUGCCGGCUGCAAACAUUGUCGCACCACAUUCAACCAUCACAAGAAGAGUGAGCGGGGCGAUGAGGCACCUGAAUGCAUGCGCCGCUUUUCGGAGGGCAAUGAAUGGCACCGAGAUAGGUUAUCGUCCCGAGUGGUCUGCGUCAAACGAGAAGCGGGCGAAGCCAUCGAAGGCAAGCGACAGCUCAACUCCAUCUACAUCGAACGCUUCGUCGAUGAAGCAAGGAUCGAUCAAAGAUCGGCUAAUACCCAAGCUCGAUAAGCGAACGAAGGGGAAGUUGGAGCAGGCCAUAGCAAUGCAUUUCUUCGUCUCAGGCACGUCGGUCAAGCGGGUCGAGGAAGAGAACCUGGUGAUGGCUGUCAAGGCCCUUUGCCCAGAUGCAGUGCUGCCGAACAGGAAGUUGCUGGCCGGACCAUCGCUCAGCAGUGCGUACAUCGACAUGAAGAAGGUUGACACCGUCCUGGACAAUAGGACCGUUUGCCUGACAUCUGAUGCGUGGUCAAACAUCAAGAAUGGUCCAAUUGUGGACUACAUGGUCACAUCGCCGCCCACAAUGUUGCUUCUUGAGUCGGUGUCCACUGGGGAGCAGGGCCACAACACUAACUGGAUCGCCUCGGAUCUUGAACGUGUGAUGGCGUCCCAUCCGAAGACUACAUUCGCUGGCGCGGUCAGCGACAACACAUCCACCAACAGGAAUGCGUGGGAACAGCUCUCGAAGGCUGUACGCCGCAUGGUCUGCAUUUGCUGGUCAAGGACAUUCUCCGUCAUGAAGACGAGGAAAGCCGGCCAAACAGAACACACAUACUCGAUUGACUAUCCGUUCGUGUACCUGCUUGAGUAUAGCGUGGGGUGCACGGACACGGUCAAAUUGUUUCACAACAGUCACGUUCUCAAGGCACAGCUGCAGGCUGAACAGAAGAUCGCUGGCGUUCGAGCGUUGGUCCGUCCGGCUCCUACACGUUGGGGAACGAUCAAAGGCUGUUGCGAGACGCUGUUGUCGUCGGAGAGGGUUCUGCAUUCCAUUGUCACAGCUCACGACUUCAUCAAGGGGACGGCAGCUCAGAAAUCAGAGCGCAUGCGAAUCAAGACCAUCAUUACGAGCGACAACUUCGUCUCUCUGUUGCAGAAGUCCCUUGCCAUUCUCACGCCCAUCGACGCAUCGAUUGUCAAAUUUCAAUCCGAAUCCAUACCAGUCUCUGAAGUCUUGCCGGAUUUUCACGCCCACCUUGCUGAAGUUUUGCCAAGCUGCACGAAGACGGUCAUGUGAGCACUGAAGAGAUCAACUACCUCAUCAAGUUGGCAGCAAGUCGCUUUCAGUUCAUGUACGGAAAGGCCCAUGGACUUGCGUUAGAUCCUCGCUUCAUUGGAGAGGGCUUGAGCCCAGCUAAUCGAAAAGAGCUGGAGAACAUCUUACUGGAGACACCGAUCAACAAAGAGACGGCGGUUGAUAAUGAGAAGUGAGAGGCACUCUUUAUGCAGCUCACCGAGUACGUCAUUUCGGCGCAGCAGAACGAUGCCGGCAGGUUCAGAUUAAUUAUGCUACUCAAGGGACGUAAGACCUUUGCAGUAUUGGCAGUCUGAUGGCGUGGCCUGGCCCGAUCUUCAGAAGAUCGGCGUCAAGCUAUUCACGAUUGGCGACAUCCUCUGCAGCCUCGGAGCGCAACUUCUCAACUUUGGGCUUCAUACACAGCGAGCUCAGGGACAGCUUGGCAUCCAGUUCGGUGGAGAAGUUGGUCUACCACAAGAGCGUUCGCCGAAUGCAGUUCUAUGUCCGAGGGCGACGACAUGGACUUGUCGGAGGACUAGUACUGACCUGGGAGUAUUGCAAAUAAAACCAUGAGGUUUAAGGUUUUUUCCACCCCUGGUCACCUGAUACCCCAUAUAAAUCUCAAUGUUCAUCCUACGAAGUCCCAUCACAAGGGAGAAACACAAAGACAAAAUGUUUGUCUAUUGAAACGGUUGUACGCCGCGUGGACCUGAAAACUCAAUUCCCCUGUACAAGAAUACCAACUAAAACUGUAUGGGUCCACAGGUUUGCACUACCCAGUGUCUCACUACCAGUGUCUCACUACCAGUGUCUCACUCGCAGUGUCUCACUACCCAGUGUAUCUGUACCCGUGUCUCACCACCCAGUGUCUCUGUCUCUGUGUUGAGGCAUAAAUUACGACUCGGAGGCAGAUCUUCAUGUAGGGGCUCACGCCAUGUUUUAUUAGGGGCUCACGCCAGUUGUUUUAUUAAAUACCUCUCCGCACA